UGGUGGAGCGAUUUGUCUGGUUUAUUCCGAUAACGAACGAGACUCCAACCUACUAACUAGUCGACGAAUACUCUUGGUUCGUCUCACUUCUUAGAGGGACAAGCGGUGUUCAGCCGCAUGAGAAGGAGCAAUAACA
rnacentral:rRNA from 1 species